CUGAGAUCACGAUUUGCAAUCACAAGAUUUUGAUAUAUUAAUUGGUUUAUCAUUUCAGAGAUUAAUGGCUUAGACAUAAGACAUUAUUUUCUCUGCUUCCAGCAGAACUAAUGUAAUGCAUGCCUGUGUGUGAGCAGAAAGUCUGCUGUAUAUAUCCCUCUCCUGCACACAGACCUAAGCUGAUAGAACUUGCAUCCUGCUUGAGCUCUAAAACUCAAGCUCUGCUUGAUUGGUCAUAGGAUGGGUCCAGAAGUCAAUCUCAUACAUCCUCAGAUGAUGCUUAUAUCUUUGGAGCUGAUGACAUACAGGGACUAAGAGAAUAAGCAUUGUUAACACAGUGAAUGCAACAUGGCCUCAGUGAAACUGGAAUAAAGCAUCACGAAUGAGAACAUUCUAAAAGUGAACAACUAGAGGUGCAGCCACCAUAUCACAGGAUACAACAGGAAGUGGAUUGGCUGAGAAGAAAAGGGAACCAGGAGCAGUCAAAGGUGACAGUGAGAAAGUGCUUCUAAUGCAACAAACUCUCUCUUAGAGCUUGGCCUUUAAUCCCAGCAGAGAUAGGUGGAUCUUUGUGAUUCUGAGGUCAGCAAGUCUACAUAGAGAGUCCCAAGACAUCCAGGGCUACACAGAAAGACCUUCUCUCAAACAGAACACAGAACAAAACAGUAAACCCUAUUAGAUGCAGAAAUAGUAGAGUUCAAGCCAGUUAUGUAUAGGAAUUCUUUCAGAGCAGAAAAUAAGAGGGAGAAAACCAUUUUUAAGUGAGAGGGAAAAAUGGUGACUAAGAAGGCAUUACUCAGGGAACAGAGAGCACUAACCAUGAGCCACAGAUUUCCUGGAAAACAACCACAAACUUAGAAUACUUAGAGAAAGACUGGUACCCCACAGCCUGGAGAAUAAACUGUUUUUGAAAUCAGGAAAAAAAAGGAGAAGGAGGAGGAGGAAGAGGAGGGGGAGGAGGAGGAGGGGGAGGAGGAGGAGGGAGAGGAGGAGUAGAAGAAGAAGAAGGAGAAGAAGGAGAAGAAGAAGGAGGAGGAGGAGGAGGAAGAAGAAAGAAAGAAAGAAAGAAAGAAAGAAAGAAAGAAAGGAAGGAAGGAAGAAAGGAAGAAAGAAAGAAAAGAAAUUAAAUUUGCACAUAAAAAUCUUACCUUAGCCCAAGAAUUGCUCUUAAAAAAAAAAAAAAGAAAAAAAAAAAAAGCUAGGAAAACUUUGAAUUACAAGGAUCAGUGAAUCCAUUGGCGUGAAUCUAGCCAGAAAAAUAGACCCACAAAUGAGCAAAAUCAGACCAGAGUUCAACUUUCUUCCAACGUUAUAAAUGCCAGAAAAAUAACAGUGCUGUGCUCACAAAAGUUUGGAAGGAAAUCUCUAUAAAGCAGGAAUACUGCACUCACCGCUUUUAAUCUGUGAAGGCAGCAGGGGUGCAGUUCUGCCUGGAUACCUGAGUUGUUCUGUGUGCAGUCACUCCCUCUACCUGGAGUCACUUUGCAUGGUUUUAGUGGCCCAUAGUCAACCAUGGUUUGAAGAUAUUCCGUGGAAAACUUCAGAACUAAGUCAUUCAGGAGAUACUCCAGGAGAACAAGGACGCUGUCUCGUGUCUGUCCCACCAUUCACUGUGUCAUUAGCUCUGUGGCACAUGGCUGACACCCAAUAGCUAUACACUCGAUUGUCUUCAGUUAAAGAGAGCCCAGUGUACUUUGCUUUAGUUUGAAUUUAAGAAUAACCAGAUUUUUCUUUUUUCUCCUUUAAUUCUCAUUUGUCCUAGGUCUUUGCCUCUGAUGAUAAGCACUGGCUCCCUUAAAUGAAAAAGUUAUUUGGGAGCUAAUCACAUCUUUUGUUACUUUUUGAGUAAAAUGCCUCCCUCCCCUGAAACCUCUUGAGACGCAGGUGCCAGGUUGGAACUUGACAUAUAAGAGAUGAACUGAGGAAGUGUCUGUGAAGGGAAAGAGGAAAGAACAACAGAAGCCAGGGCCUUCAGACAGAGGGCAACAGGAUGAAGCAAGGUUCGGGAGGACAGACUCCUGCCUAUAGUGCCAUUCUGAGAAGAUCUUCACUGGAUGGAUAGGGCUUCAUCCAGCAAGGAUGCCUGUUACAGAAGUCCUACAGUUGCAGGGCCAGGCUAGGCAGUUGCAGAACCUCUCUAUACAUGUAGCACUGGCUGGCCACAGCCCAAGAGGCACAUAGUCUCAGCAGAGUGGAGGACAUCCCAAGCAGUAGCAGCGAGUGCUGUCAAUCAGCUGUACCUCUCUGGGAGGGAGUUCUGAAUGGCACAUCUCCAUAGCUGACGUGGUGAUUCAAUACAAUAGGGUACAGAGAAACUAUCAAGUGGAAAAUUCUGGAAACAAACAAAAAAGGUAGGUGCUAUGUACUGGUCUGCAAAGCAGGGUAAAAUCUGGGGUCACCCUGUUCCCUCCUGAAGAGUGUGACUUAUCAGUCAAGCCUAUGGAUGUGGACUGCACCUAUCCCUUCGUAGCCAUAUUGGUUAUCAGAUUAACUCUCAUUGUAUCAUAGUGUUUCCAUGUAAGUAAUUCAGUGGGGGGGGGGGGCAUAGCUUUUAUUAUUACAGUGUAUUUGUUAAAGGUUUUCUACUUUGUUGCUACUCAUUUCUUGGUAUUUGUAAGUUAAAAUGGAUCAUAUGUGGAGUGUAUAGGGAGAAGAUAGUACAUAUAGAGUUAAGGAAUCAGGCAUCCACUGAGUGUCACAGACCGAGUUCCGUGUGGCUAGGGGAAUGAGUUUGUUAUAUCCUGAAGGCAUCAUCUGAGGGUGUGCUCCAGAUGCAGUUGAGCUCCUAAAAACAAAGAAGUUAACCCUACCAGAAAAGACUGGCCUUGGGAGGAAGAGCUGAAAGCCAUAAAUGAAGGAGUUCUAUCUAAGUAAGUGUUAAAAUGUAUAAGAGAAUCCGUAACUGUUUUUUUUUUUUUUUUUUUUUUUUUUUACUUCUGUCUCUAUGAGCUUACAAUGUAACAGAUUUCCUUUUGACAUUCUCACACAUGCUAAGCUUUGAUCUACAGUCCUGGCCCUUCUCUUCUGGUCUCCAUGUUCUGUCAAGUUUAUCCCUUCCACUCUCAGAGUUUACCUCACUUUCCACUUUCAUACCACAUGGGAUCUUCUACCCAUCUGUCCAUUCUCUCUCCCAUGGUCCCUUUCUAGAUCUUUGACUUUACCCCCCACUCUCCUACAUAAAUAGACACAUAUACAAAAUAGAAGGUAGGACUUAGGUAUGAGAGAAAAUUUGUAGUAUUUGUCUUUCCGAGCCGGAGUCACCUUAAUACAUUUCCAGUUCCAUCUAUUUUCCCAAAUAUUUCAUAAUUUCAUUUUUCUUUCCAGGUGAAUGAGAUUCCAUUGUAUAUAUGUAUACAUUUUCUUUAUCCAUUCAUCAAUUCUUAGAAAUCUAGUCUGACUCUGUUUCCUUCCCAUUGUGAACAGAGUAGUAAUGAACAUGUAUGUACAAGUGUGUCUUUCAUAGAAUAUAGAGGCUUUGGGUAUAUAUAUAUGCCCAGGAGUGGUGGAGCUGGGUUACAUGGCAGUUCUAUUUUGAGGUUUUGGGGGCCCUCCAGGUUGAUCUCUAUAGUGAUCGCCCCAGUUUGCAGUCCCAUCAAGGAGAAUAAGGUUCCUCUUUCCCCACAUCCUCACCAACAUUUGUUGUCAUUGUUUCUUGAUGAUACCCAUUCUGUCUGGGGUGGGAUGGAGUCUUGAAGUAGUUUUAAUUUGCAUUCCCCUGAUAUCUAAGAAUGGUGAACAUUUUUUUAAAAAUGUUUCAUAGACAUUUGAGAACUGUUUGGUAAGUUCGGUAUCCCAGUUAUGAAUCAAGUUGUUUUCUUGUGUAGUUGUUUUUGUUCUUUCUGUAGUAGAGAUAUCUAUCCUCUGUUAGGAGUGUAGCUAGCAAAGAUCUUCUCCCGUUCUGCAGUCUGUCUCUCCUUUCCUUUGUUGUAAAGAAGCUUUUUCAUUUUAUGAGAUCCCAUUGGUCAGUGGUUGCCCUCAUUCCCUGAGCGACUGGAGUCCCGUUCAGAAAUUUAUCCAUACCAAUACCUUAAAGUGAUAUCUUUAUUUUUCAGUGGCUUUAGAGUUUGGGGUCCAUGGUAAAGACUAAUUUAUCUGGAGUUGAUCUUUGUGCAGGAUGACCGAUAUGGAUCUAGUAUUAUCCUUCAACAUGUGAGUAUUCAGUUUCCCCAGCACCGUUAGAAUUAAUGUUUUUCUUUCAAGUGUUCUUGUUUUACCUUCAUGUUAGGUAUUUAGUGUGUACCCACAUGCCAUGAUUCAUGUGUGCAGAUCAGAGGACAACUUAUGCGAGAUGGUUCUCCCCUUCUUCCACAUGGGUCCUGGGGAUUGAACUCAAGUCACCAGGCUUGGUGGCAAGACUCUCUAUCAACUGAGCCAUCUCACUGGCCCACACAACUUUAACACUCUUUAAACCUUCAACGUGAAGACCAUAGUAAGAAUCGAUAGAAAAUGGUAACAGUGAAACAGAGGAAACAAAAACACCAGGAAACAGAAGCCAAGUCAAACGUCAGCUUUAAAGUGCUUCCAUUACUUUCCACAGAGAAUUGAGGGGGGAAAAUUAUUGUGUCUAUAAUAGGAUGUAGAUUUACAAAUUAGGGAAAGCCCCUGGGAAUUAAAAAGAAAGAGCUGAAAUUAAACAUUCAAUAAUAAGGUUCUACUUUGCCCCCUAAUUGCCCCCCCAUCCCAGCUGUCUCUCUCAGUCCUCUCUCCCUCCAUCCUCCCCACAACCUGGUCCCUCCUGUUCCCUUCCCCAGUCCACCCAUGCUAUAGGAGACAUUCCCCUUCCCACAGAGACCCAUGAGUCCCCCUAAGCCCUCCUUGUUACGUAGCCUCUGUGGGUCUGUGGAUUGCGACUUAUCCUUUGCACUGAUAUCCACUCAUGAGUGAGUACAAACCCUGUUUGUCUUUCUGGGUCUGGGUUACCUCACUCAAGAUCAUUUUUUUCUAGUUUCACCCUCUUGCCUGAAAUUUUCAUGUUUUUUUUCUUUUUUAAACAGCUGAGUAAUUAAUGCUCUGUUGUAUAAAUGUGCCACGUUUUCUUCCUCCAUUCUUUGGUUGAGGGUGGAAACUCCCAGGUAUCUAUUAGGGUGACCCUAGCUCAGACUCCUAGUAAUGGGGGCUAGGAUACAGCCAUCUCCUCUAGCCAAGACAUACUUCUAGUGGAGAGAUGGGAUAACAACCCAGUCACAAAACCUUCUACCUACAAUUUGUUUUGCCAGAAAAAUGUGUUGAGGUAAAGGUGACACAGAAAUUGUGGGAGUGGCCAGCCAGUGAUUGGUCCAGCUUGAGAUCCACAUAACAAGAGGGAAGCUGACACUGCCUGGAGGACCAGAAACCAGAGGCCAGGUGACCCAAAGACCUAGGAUAGAACCAAGCAUGCCUGGCUAGAUGUAGAUGUAUAAGUACACAUGUAUGUAUAAAUAAAUGAAAUGAUUCCUAAAGAUAUUCUGCUGUUCUUAUAGAUAAGAGCCUGGCAAAAUUACCAUCAGAGAGGCUCCAUCCAGCAACUGAUGGAAACAGAUGCAGAGACCAACAGCCAAAAUUAGGCAGAACUCAAUGAAUCCUGAAGAAUGGAAGGAAGGAUUGUAGGAGCCAGAAGGGUCAAGGACACAAGAAAACCCACAGAAUCACCAAACCUGAACCCACAGAGGCUCACUAAACUGGACUGACAAUCGGGGUGCCUACAUGGACUGACCUAGGCUCUCUGCAUCUCUGUAGUUCGUCUCAUUGUAGGACUCCUAACUGAAGGACAAUGAGUUAUUUCUGGGAAGUUUGCCUGCUUUUGGUACUUUUUCCCCUCCUAAUGGGUUGCCUCAUCCAGCUUGAUAUGAGGGGGGUACCUAGUCUUAUUGCAACUUGAAAUGCUGUGUGUGGUUGAUAUCCCUGGGAAGCCUGCGCUUGGAGGAGUGGAUCAAGGUGGGCACUGGAGGGAGAGGAGAGAGGGGACACUGUGAUCCACAUGCAAUAUAGGAGAGAAUAAAUUGAUUUUUCUAAAAAAGACAAUAAUAGGAUAGAAGGAAGCUUCUAGGAAAUAGAAUCCUAAGAUAAGGUGGAAAUGCCCCUCCCCCCAAAUACAAAUACAAUUAAUUAACUGAAGAAAUUCAGUGUAUAACUAGAGUUCCAAAAAUGCUAGAGGUGGGCAAUACAGGGAUACAGUAUCCAAAAAACUGAGGGAAAAAAAAGUUUUAUAGAACUGAUAGAUUGGUGGCUGUCUCUGGAUCAAAUGGCGCAUAUAGUAAAAGAAGAAAGAUGAACAGUGAGUUUUCUGAACAGCAGAGAUGGAAGACAACAUGAAACCUGCCCUCAAGAAAAAGCAGUCUAUAUACAAUAGAAAAGGUGACGUAUCCAAGGCAUUAGAAGGUGCUAGAAACUACACAUCGGCUACAGGGCAAAGAAAAUGAAACAGUCCCCAACUACGUGGAGGCAGGACAUCUUCGUCCUAUAAUUCUCUGCCUGGUUUUUGCUUCCUCUGGUUUCCUUUCUGUCCUCUGGUAGCAUAUCCGAAUUUUCUUUUCAGGAGUGGAGAACUGUUAAGGAUUACUGCUGACAUUUCUAUGUCGUAAUAAAUUUAUAGCAAUUAUGUUACUCUUUGUUUCACCAUUUUCAAUUCCGCCUGCCAUUCUCUAAGCUAUGAUUUACUUCUCUGUGGGUGGGAUGUAGACAGACUAAUGAUGCUUUCAAAGACUUCAAUACCGAAAACCAUUUAGCUCUUAGGACUUUUUUUUUUUUUCCUCAGGGAGCCUCUAGAAGAGGGUUGCUCUGCUAAAACAAGGAGGCAAAUCUGUCCUGGUGCUCCCCGGGAACUGAUCACGUCAAGGACAAGCGUCAAGAAUGAGUGAAGCCAAACUUGGAUGCAUCUUACAAUUUGGGGUCAAGUGCUCCUUCUGGUGUAUUGCAAUAACAGAAACUGGUACCGGGGUCAUCCUCUGCCUCUCCAUCUGUCCACAUGGGCUUCACUCCAGAUUACAGAUCCAGAGGAUCCAGGCAGAGCAGUGAACACCAGGCACAACCAUAUGCCAGUUCAACAGAUGACAAGGACCUGAUAAUGGAGAUAUCGGGGAUAAAUGGAGAAUGGCUGGCGCUCAGCUGCACCAGAGAAGAAAUCUAACAAUCUAAGUCAGCUGCGAUUCUGCCCUAGCUACAACCUUUUCCCAGCUGCUGUCACUCUGGAAUUUUUUUUCUUCUACGUAAGUCCCGGCAAGUACUCCACCUGCACCCUCCGUGCUGGUGAAGUGGUUGGCACUUACCUUGACUGGCUCGAGGAAAACCCAGAGACUUGAUACAGCACUGAGUCUAAAUAUGUCUGAGAGCAUGAUUCUAGAAGAGAUUGACAUUUGAAUGACAUGGGAAAGACUUUUCCUUUCCCCCCCAGAAGUGGGCAAUGGCUAGUCUGCUGAGAACCUGGAUAGAGAUAGAAGGUGUCAGACAAGUUGUAUCUCCUGGAGCCAGGAUUUCGGUUUCACCUUUUCAGACACCAUAUUUUUGCUCCUUUCAAACUCUGGAACUUACAUCAACGCCCUGAAAUGUCUCAAACCUUCUGCCAUGCUUCCCUGGUUCUCAGGUCUUUGGACAAGCCUGAAUUAUACCAUCAGCUUCCCUGAUCUUCCAUCUUGCAGACGACUACCACAUGGCCCUUGUCGGCCUCCAUAGUUAGAGUCACGGAAGCUUGUUGGAAAGGACAAUAGAAGUUCGUUCCCUCGAGGGUGUGCGUCGUGACUGUGUGUGGUGGUGCCUUGCCGUGUUCAGUUCAUGCUCCUUAUCAAGAAAGAAAUGACGACUUGUGGUUGAUGAAAAGCCUUGGUAGAGUCUCCGCAUUUAUAUCUGUAGAGGUAAUGACAUUAAUUACCAUCGCAUGGGUGAAUAUCUGCAUCCAUACGAGCAACAGUAAAUCACUUAAAUAAUUCACCCGCUGGGCAUUAAUAAUAGAUGUGGUUAUUUUUCUGGGAAUUCACUUUAUUUUUCCCUUUAGUAUUUGUAGUUUCUUCAAAUUACUUUUGACUAUGGCGACAAUAACAGAAUUCAGCCCUGUGUGUUUAAUCUGAUAUACCCACGAGGCCUAAAAUGUCUACUAUAAAAGGGCCAUGGUUCCAGAACGCUGCUUCUUGUAGGGGCUGAGGCCUUGAGUCAUCUUUAAUAUAUCCUCCAUGUGUUACCAUUGCUUUCAAGAGAAGUCUGUACUUGCCUUGCCUGGAAAGUACCAAUCCAAUUCCUGUACUUUCUCUUACAAUUUUUUUCUUUGCUUUUGGAAUUCUGCCCUCUUUCUUUCAGCCCUUUAAACCACCUUGCUUUGUUUUGCUAUGUUUGCUUGUUUUUCUCAUUGACAGCUUUCUUCUAUCGAUAUUACCCCAAAAUAAAUGCUACCAAUACCCA